GACGAACGCUGGCGGCGCGCCUAAAACAUGCAAGUCGAACGAGAAACCCGGGCUUGCCCGGGUGGACAGUGGCGAACGGGUGAGUAACACGUGAGGAACCUGCCCCGAAGACCGGGAUAACACCGGGAAACCGGUGCUAAUACCGGAUGCCUUCACCGGAUCGCAUGGUCUGGUGAAGAAAUGGAUUCCGCUUCGGGAUGGCCUCGCGUCCUAUCAGCUUGUUGGUGAGGUAACGGCUCACCAAGGCGACGACGGGUAGCUGGUCUGAGAGGAUGUCCAGCCACACUGGGACUGAGACACGGCCCAGACUCCUACGGGAGGCAGCAGUUAGGAAUCUUGCGCAAUGGACGAAAGUCUGACGCAGCGACGCCGCGUGCGGGAUGAAGGCCUUCGGGUUGUAAACCGCUUUCAGCAGGGACGAAAUUGACGGUACCUGCAGAAGAAGCCCCGGCCAACUACGUGCCAGCAGCCGCCGUAA
rnacentral:rRNA from 1 species